rnacentral:rRNA from 1 species
ACGGGUGAGUAAUGCCUAGGAAUCUGCCUGGUAGUGGGGGAUAACGCUCGGAAACGGACGCUAAUACCGCAUACGUCCUACGGGAGAAAGCAGGGGACCUUCGGGCCUUGCGCUAUCAGAUGAGCCUAGGUCGGAUUAGCUAGUUGGUGAGGUAAUGGCUCACCAAGGCGACGAUCCGUAACUGGUCUGAGAGGAUGAUCAGUCACACUGGAACUGAGACACGGUCCAGACUCCUACGGGAGGCAGCAGUGGGGAAUAUUGGACAAUGGGCGAAAGCCCGAUCCAGCCAUGCCGCGUGUGUGAAGAAGGUCUUCGGAUUGUAAAGCACUUUAAGUUGGGAGGAAGGGCAGUUACCUAAUACGUAUCUGUUUUGACGUUACCGACAGAAUAAGCACCGGCUAACUCUGUGCCAGCAGCCGCGGUAAUACAGAGGGUGCAAGCGUUAAUCGGAAUUACUGGGCGUAAAGCGCGCGUAGGUGGUUUGUUAAGUUGGAUGUGAAAUCCCCGGGCUCAACCUGGGAACUGCAUUCAAAACUGACAAGCUAGAGUAUGGUAGAGGGUGGUGGAAUUUCCUGUGUAGCGGUG